rnacentral:rRNA from 1 species
AUGACGGUACCCGCAGAAUAAGCCCCGGCUAACUUCGUGCCAGCAGCCGCGGUAAUACGAAGGGGGCCAGCGUUGUUCGGAAUCACUGGGCGUAAAGCGUACGCAGGCGGAUUGAUAAGUCAGGGGUGAAAUCCCGGGGCUCAACCUCGGAAUUGCCUUUGAUACUGUCUGUCUCGAGUUCGGGAGAGGUUGGCGGAAUUCCUAGUGUAGAGGUGAAAUUCGUAGAUAUUAGGAAGAACACCAGUGGCGAAGGCCGCCAACUGGCCCGAUACUGACGCUCAUGUACGAAAGCGUGGGGAGCAAACAGGAUUAGAUACCCUGGUAGUCCACGCUGUAAACUAUGGAUGCUACCGUUGGGGAGCUUGCUCUUCAGUGGCGCAGCUAACGUCUUAAGCAUCCCGCCUGGGGAGUACGGUCGCAAGAUUAAAACUCA